UACGUAGGUGGCACGCGUUAUCCGGAAUUAUUGGGCGUAAAGAGCGCGCAGGUGGUUGAUUAAGUCUGAUGUGAAAGCCCACGGCUUAACCGUGGAGGGUCAUUGGAAACUGAGGAACUUGAGUAUAGAAGAGAAGAGUGGAAUUCCAAGUGUAGCGGUGAAAUGCGUAGAUAUUUGGAGGAACACCAGUGGCGAAGGCGACUCUUUGGUCUAUUACUGACGCUGAGGUACGAAAGCAUGGGUAGCAAACAGGAUUAGAUACCCUGGUA
rnacentral:rRNA from 1 species